CGCCUGUUUAUCAAAAACAUGUCUUUUUGUUAAUUAUUUAAAGUCUGGCCUGCUCCAUGAGUAAUUAAAUAGCCGCAGUAUUUUGACUGUGCAAAGGUAGCAUAAUCAUUAGUUUUUUAAUUGAAAGCUGGUAUGAAUGGUCGGAUGAAGAAGAUUCUGUCUCAUUUUAAUUUAAAUUGAAUUUUAUUUUUAAGUCAAAAAGCUUAAAUUUUAUAGAAAGACGAGAAGACCCUAUAGAGUUUAAUAGGUUUAUUUUACAAUAAAUUUAGGAUUUUAUUUUUAUAGUGAUUUGAACUAUUUUGUUGGGGUGACAUAAGAAUUUAAAUAACUUCUUUUUAUAUUAACACUGAUUGGUGAAUACAGGAUCCUGAUUUUUGGAUUAUAAGAUUAAAUUACCUUAGGGAUAACAGCGUAAUUCUUUUGGAGAGUUCUAAUCAAUAAAAGGGAUUGCGACCUCGAUGUUGGAUUAAAGUUAAAUUUUGGUGCAGAAGCUAGGAUUUUAAGACUGUUCGACUUUUAAACUUUACGUGAUCUGAGUUAAGACCGG
rnacentral:rRNA from 1 species